rnacentral:rRNA from 1 species
UACGAAGGGGGCUAGCGUUGCUCGGAAUCACUGGGCGUAAAGCGCACGUAGGCGGAUUGCUAAGUCAGGGGUGAAAUCCUGGAGCUCAACUCCAGAACUGCCCUUGAUACUGGCGGUCUCGAGUCCGGGAGAGGUGAGUGGAACUGCGAGUGUAGAGGUGAAAUUCGUAGAUAUUCUCAAGAACACCAGUGGCAAAGGCGGCUCACUGGCCCGGUACUGACGCUGAGGUGCGAAAGCGUGGGUAGCAAACGGG